GACAGAGGGUGCAAACGUUGUUCGGAAUUACUGGGCGUAAAGCGCGUGUAGGCUGCUCGGAAAGUCGGGUGUGAAAGCCCUGGGCUCAACCUAGGAAGUGCAUUCGAAAACUUCUGAGCUGGAGUGCUGGAGAGGAAGGCGGAAUUCUCGGUGUAGAGGUGAAAUUCGUAGAUAUCGAGAGGAACACCGGUGGCGAAGGCGGCCUUCUGGACAGCAACGUGACGCUGAGACGCGAAAGCGUGGGGAGCAAACAGG
rnacentral:rRNA from 1 species